rnacentral:rRNA from 1 species
UACGGAGGGGGCUAGCGUUGUUCGGAAUUACUGGGCGUAAAGCGCACGUAGGCGGCUUUGCAAGUCAGAGGUGAAAGCCCGGGGCUCAACUCCGGAAUUGCCUUUAAGACUGCAUCGCUAGAAUUGUGGAGAGGUAAGUGGAAUUCCGAGUGUAGAGGUGAAAUUCGUAGAUAUUCGGAGAACACCAGUGGCGAAGGCGACUUACUGGACACAUAUUGACGCUGAGGUGCGAAAGCGUGGGGAGCAAACAGG